GAUGAACGCUGGCGGCGUGCCUAACACAUGCAAGUCGAACGGAGAUUCCGGACGGAAGUUUUCGGAUGGAAGACUGUAAUUCUUAGUGGCGGACGGGUGAGUAACGCGUGGGCAACCUGCCCUAUACAGGGGGAUAGCAGCUGGAAACGGCUGGUAAGACCGCAUAAGUCGGUUAAAUCGCAUGAUUUGAUCGGGAAAUGAGCAAUCAGGUAUAGGAUGGGCCCGCGUCCGAUUAGCCAGUUGGCAGGGUAAAAGCCUACCAAAGCGACGAUCGGUAGCCGGACUGAGAGGUCGGACGGCCACAGUGGGACUGAGACACGGCCCAAACUCCUACGGGAGGCAGCAGUGGGGGAUAUUGCACAAUGGAGGAAACUCUGAUGCAGCGACGCCGCGUGAGUGAAGAAGUAUUUCGGUAUGUAAAGCUCUAUCAGCAGGGAAGAUGAUGACGGUACCUGACUAAGAAGCCCCGGCUAACUACGUG
rnacentral:rRNA from 1 species